rnacentral:rRNA from 1 species
AACGAACGCUGGCGGCGUGGAUAAGACAUGCAAGUCGAACGGGACAGACCGAGUAGCAAUAUUUGGAAUGUUCAGUGGCGAACGGGUGCGUAACACGUGGAUAACAUUCCGGAAAGCGGGGAAUAGCCCAGGGAAACUUGGAUUAACACCGCAUGUGGCCGCAAGGCUAAAGACGGGGACCGCAAGGCCUGUCACUUUCCGAUUGGUCCGCGGCCUAUCAGCUAGUUGGCGGGGUAAUGGCCCACCAAGGCUACGACGGGUAGCCGGUCUUAGAGGACGACCAGCCACACUGGAACUGAGGAACGGUCCAGACACCUACGGGUGGCAGCAGUCGAGAAUCUUUCACGAUGGGGGCAACACUGAUGGAGCGACGCCGCGUGGAGGAUAAGGUCUUCGGAUUGUAAACUCCUGUCAUGCGAGAACAAGGUACUCAGGCUAAUAACCUGAUUGUUUGAUGGUACCGCAAGAGGAAGAGACGGCUAACUCUGUGCCAGCCGCCGCGGUAAAAC